rnacentral:rRNA from 1 species
UGGGGGAUAUUGCACAAUGGGCGAAAGCCUGAUGCAGCGACGCCGCGUGGGGGAUGAAGGCCUUCGGGUUGUAAACUUCUUUUGCUCUGAACAAGGCAUGCCUUUGGGGUGUGUUGAGUGUAGGGGUUGAUUAGCGCCGGCUAACUACGUGCCAGCAGCCGCGGUAAUACGUAGGGCGCGAGCGUUGUCCGGAAUUAUUGGGCGUAAAGGGCUUGUAGGUGGCUGGUUGCGUCUGUCGUGAAAGCUCAUGGCUUAACUGUGGGUUUGCGGUGGGUACGGGCUGGCUUGGGUGCAGUAGGGGAGGCUGGAAUUCCUGGUGUAGCGGUGGAAUGCGCAGAUAUCAGGAGGAAUACCGGUGGCGAAGGCGGGUCUCUGGGCUGUUACUGACGCUGAGGGGCGAAAGCGUGGGGAGCGAACAGG